ACGUCCGGGGCGGAGCUCUGCCGGGAUGGGGCCAGGGGAAGGGGAGCCGAAUGGCGUCCUGCUGGGACCUGGACCUGGCACUGGCUGCGGGUCUCCCCGGCUUUCUGGGUCCCGGUAGCUUGCUCGCUGUGUGACCCUCCGCAAGUGUGCACACUUCUCUGAGCCUCAGCGGCCUCUGGCAAAAUGGUAGAGCUCAUACGAGCUGUAAGACAAACUAGGAGCGGCAUAGAGUACCGCUUAAGAGCGAGGACUCGAGUCCUCACUCUGCCACCAGAUAACUUCGGUAAUCUAGCGAUAAUGAUAGUACCACCUCAUAGGUUUGUUAUGAAGAUUAACUGAGUUAAUAUUUGUAAAGUGUUUAGAACAGAACUUAUGUGGUAAGUGGUAUUUAAGUAUUUGUUAGACAGACUACGGGAGGUCUUGCUCCGGGAUUUUCUCCCUUCCCCUCUCCACCCCCACAUUCCUGUUUCUAAGCCAGGCCUUGCUUUAGCACAGGCUGGGCCCUUUGCCUGCAAAACCAUACCCAUCUCUUCUCUGGACUUUAAUAUCACCUCCUCUGUGAAGCCUUCCUCUACGCCUGACAGUACAAGUGAAUCUAUGAUAACAGGCAAGAUGCUGGCCCAAGAGAUUCUGUUUUCUUCUGGGUAAAACGGGAUGAAAACCACCACCAACUUCAUGUGUAAUCAUGAGAGUUACAACGUGCAGAUAAGCUCGUGAAGUUCUUGGCACAUGUUGACUUGAGUGUGCUGCUCUUCCCGUCCGUCUCCUCGCAGACUGAUCACCUUGAAGAUGGCUUCUGUAGCCGAGACACACAGGUGAAGGAGUGAAGGAAGAAGGCAGGAGUGAGCAGAUGAGCUGCUAGUCUGCCAGUUUCCUGCCAACACCAGCGUCUCCUUAAGUCCCUGUUCAGUUUCGUCACUUCUCUGCUCAGUCUCUCCAUAGCUCCCUGUCUCCUAGCACAUCCAGUCUGCUGUGUAUGCCUCUUCCCAGCUCUGGGUAUGCCCCACUCAGCCCAUGGGUCACACUCAUCAUCACACUUUCCUUCUCUAAGCUGGCCCUUUGCUGGCCAUUUCCCCCAGGGACAGAGGCAGGCUCCUGGAGCUCUCAAACUGGAGAGGAUGCAAGAGGGGUGAUGCACAGCACCAACAGCAAGUUGGGUGGACGGGGAUAAGAAUGGAUAUGAGAGCAGAACUCGUACCACAGAGAAAGGUGAGGGAGUAAAGGGAGCUUUAAGGAAGGGAGAGGGCUUGCUGAGCAGGGUAUAGCAGGCUGAAUACAGGUUCACCAGGUGGGUCAGAGGGAAGGCCAUUCUUGGCAGAGGGAAGAACAUGUGCAAAGACAGUAGACAGGCAGAGUAAUUGCUGAAGAGGAGAAAGAAUCUCUAGAGUCUAGACACUCAGAGACAGAUGGGGAGCCCUGAAUUCAGACUCCUGAGUCCCAGCUCUGCUAUUUACAUGCCAGAUAUCACUGAGUAAAUCCCUUCUUUCUGAGCCUCGAGACCCACAUCAGUAAAAUAGGUGUAACAACCCCUUCCUUGGUUGACCAGAGGAAAAACGGAUGUGUAUAAAAGUUUAUCCAAAUAAACGGUACUAAUGCAUGAUGUCAGAAAUUCAAUCAAAGCCCCUUCCUACGGUCAGGGUGGGACUUGAAGACAGAACAGAGUGGCCAGAAAAACAGCUUUACCUUCGCCCCACCCCACCAUAUUUGUCCAAAUAGACUCCCAUUAUCUGCUUGAAAUUUCCGAUUCUAGAUGUUCUGUCUCGGUGAAAGUUUAAUGAUCCCUAGAGGGUACUGUAUCGAGAUAAAUUCAACAGAAGCUAUUGACACUGAUGAAAUAUUAGAUUCUCAGGUGGGAUAGUUUGGUUUUUGGGUGGCUGAGUCCUGGGAAACAGGAUUUAACUCCAGCCAGGGAGGGGACACCAGAGAAAGCCAAGGAAGAGAGCCUGAAAGGUUGGAAUGCCUGGGAAGACAGGAGCAAAUGCCCCAGGGGGGUCCUGAAGGUGCAGUUUAAGCCAGAAAGCCAGGCUAAAUAGCGCCUGGGGCUGGAGCGGAAGGGGUUGGAAGCGAGAGGAGAGGAAGAUGAGGGAAUUCGAAUGAGAGAAGUUAAGGAGGUGGGGUCAAACGCCAGGUAUAAGGCUUUAUUCAGUGGGCAGUGGGGAGCCAUGGAGGGUUUUUGAGCAGGAAAGGACCUGAGGAAAGCUCAGCCUCCCCUCAAGCCUACCCUAUCCUGGGGCUUUAAAGUGGAGUGUAAGGAUGCCCCCCUCCCCAAGCUGAGCUCACACUGGAAGCUUUGUUCCCUGGAUGCUACCUUUAGCCCAGGAAGGAACUCGGACUUUUUGGUUCCAAGCACUUCUAGCCCUAGCCAGUCAGGAAAAGAGCUCCCUGGAGCUGGCGGGGCGGUGCCAGGUGGCCAGGCGGAUGCUGGCGGUCUGGUGCGUGCCUGCAUGCACACUCCUGGUCUCCAGCGGCGCUGUGCGCUGUGCGGGGGCAGUCGCAGCAGCCCCGGAGUCUGCAGUGAGUAAGACUACCCGGGAAAGAGUUUUUUUUGUUUGUUUGGUUGGUUGGUUGGUUUUUUUCGCCUUUAAAGGCAAGCGUUCCUGGCAGCCAGAAGAAAAAAAAAUGCUUUGUUGAGUCAGCUGUAGCUGAUUCAAGUGGUGCUGGCGGGGCUGGGGCUGGGACGGGAGAGCCCCUGAUCCAUAGGAGGUUCUGCCCCACACAGUCUCCCAGGCUGCGGGUAAACACAGCGGUGGACUCCUGGAAGGCCUGACGGGCCAGGCGGGACAGUUCUGUGUGCUUAAUAUUUUCCUUCUGACUUGCUCACCUGUUCCAACCACCUGCUCUCAGAGAACUUUUCAGCUUCCUUUCUUUAUUGUUUCACCUACCCUUCUCCGGCCCUCUGCGCGCUGUCUCAUUAGGGCCACCACCUGCUCACCGCUGCUGAUGGGGAAUAUUGAAGGAACACUUCCCCCGUUCUCUUCUGGGCGCCAGGCUUGUCUGUCCAGCUGCCUCCAGAUCAGCCCUCUGAAUGUUGCACAGAUACCUGGUCCUCACCAUGUUUAAACUCCUCCUGCUCUCACACCCUUCCUGGUCCCCACUCCAGAGAUGGCUCCUCUAGCCACCAAAUUGCCCAAGCCAGAGAUCUGACAUCUUCUUUGACUCCCCUCCCUCCUUCUUUCCCAAUAUUGAGUCAAUCCUGUGGACUUUGUCCUUCCAAAACAUCCCUGGACUCCAUCCCCUCCGCUUCAUCCCACUGGCCUUGCACUAGUUCUCCCCAUUCACGCUUGCACCUGCCACCUCACUGGUCUCUCUCAAACACCCAGCCAUCGCAUCAUUCCCUUUUUUAAAUAUCCUUACGUGGCUGGCAACAAUGUGGCUACAUCCCACAGACAUAAUGUUGAGUGAAGUAAGCCACAUGCAAAAGGAGUGUGAUUUCACAUAUACAAAGUUCCAAAACAGGCAAACUUAUCUAUGGAAUUAGAAGUCUGGAUAAUAGUUACCCUUAGAAAGAGGAUAGUGAUGGCGAGGGGGGCUGAUAACCAGGGCUGGUACUAGGAUGAGGCAGGCUCCACAUUACUGAGAUCUCCGUUUUGCCCUGAGCUUUAAUAUGGCUCAACGUGGCCCUGUUACUAAUCCUGUCUCUAUGUCAAAUUUUGGUAUUUUGUCAUCAUGGAUUUUUUUGGCAUUAAUUUUGACUUUUAAAAAAUAUUGCAUUAAAAGCAUUAAUUAUCUUGAUGCCUGAGCUGUGCGGCAUCCCCUUGCAUUUUACUCAGGAGGUGAGUUCCUCACUUGUCACAUCCUAGUCCUGACCUGCUGGUGAUGUUUUCUGAUCAGGGUGCUGGUUACAUGCGUGUGCUCAGUUGGUGAAAACUCAUGAGCUGGACAAUUUCAGUGUUUGCACUUUUCUGUAUGCAUAUGAUGCUUCAAUUAAAAAAAAUUUUUUUUUACUUUAAAAAAUUCUUCUGUAGUUUCAAGGAAAGGACUGUUGUCUGCUUCAUGUAGCAGCCCCAGCACCAAAAAAAGGUACCUGGCACACAUUGGGAUGCAGUACAUAUUUGCUGAGUGAAUGAAUACAAUCGUAUUCCAGUUAAUUUAAUCCCCACAGGGACUCAAUGAGAUAAAUAUUUUCCUCUCCAUUUUCUAAAUGAGAAAACUGAGAUUCAGGGUUGUGAAUUAGUUUGCCCAAGAUCUUAUGGAUAGUAGGUGUGAGUUCUAAUACUUCAAUUAAAAAAAUAAACAGAAACUGACCUGCAGGACUUGCUCAGGCACCUGACCCAGCACCAGCACAAGCAGUGCACUGGGGCCUGGCUCUUCUCACUGAGAUGACAGUUAUUUGAGCCGUAUCUUUCCCCAGAUAAUUACCUCCUUGGGAUAGGGGCUCAGGCAUCCUUACCUUAUCUGU